CUCUUCAGGGCAGGGUGAGAUCCCCGACCGGCGGUGAGAGUCCGCGAGCCUUCGGGCCGACCCGGUGCGAUUCCGGGACCGACAGUACAGUCUGGAUGAAAGAAGA
rnacentral:ncRNA from 1 species